rnacentral:rRNA from 2 species
GAUCCUGGCUCAGGACGAACGCUGGCGGCGUGCCUAAUACAUGCAAGUCGAACGAGCUCUCCCAAAUUGAUUUUAUGCUUGCAUAAAUGAUUUUUGGAUUCGGAGCGAGUGGCGAACUGGUGAGUAACACGUGGGUAACCUGCCCCGAAGCGGGGGAUAACAUUUGGAAACAAGUGCUAAUACCGCAUAAUUAGUUGGAACCGCAUGGUUCCAACUUGAAAGAUGGCUCUGCUAUCACUUUGGGAUGGACCCGCGCCGUAUUAGUUAGUUGGUGAGAUAAAAGCCCACCAAGACGAUGAUACGUAGCCGACCUGAGAGGGUAAUCGGCCACAUUGGGACUGAGACACGGCCCAGACUCCUACGGGAGGCAGCAGUAGGGAAUCUUCCACAAUGGACGAAAGUCUGAUGGAGCAACGCCGCGUGAGUGAUGAAGGUUUUCGGAUCGUAAAACUCUGUUGUUAAAGAAGAACAAGUGUUAGAGUAACUGUUAACACUUGACGGUAUAACCAGAAAGCCACG